UGCAAGUCGAGCGGAAAGGCCCUUCGGGGUACUCGAGCGGCGAACGGGUGAGUAACACGUGAGCAACCUGCCCCAAGCUUUGGGAUAACCCUCGGAAACGGGGGCUAAUACCGAAUAGGACUGCUGGCCGCAUGGCUGGUGGUGGAAAGUUUUUCGGCUUGGGAUGGGCUCGCGGCCUAUCAGCUUGUUGGUGGGGUGAUGGCCUACCAAGGCGACGACGGGUAGCCGGCCUGAGAGGGCGACCGGCCACACUGGGACUGAGACACGGCCCAGACUCCUACGGGAGGCAGCAGUGGGGAAUAUUGCACAAUGGGCGGAAGCCUGAUGCAGCGACGCCGCGUGAGGGAUGACGGCCUUCGGGUUGUAAACCUCUUUCAGCAGGGACGAAGCGAGAGUGACGGUACCUGCAGAAGAAGCACCGGCCAACUACGUGCCAGCAGCCGCGGUAAGACGUAGGGUGCGAGCGUUGUCCGGAUUUAUUGGGCGUAAAGAGCUCGUAGGCGGCUUGUCGCGUCGACCGUGAAAACUUGGGGCUCAACCCCAAGCCUGCGGUCGAUACGGGCAGGCUAGAGUUCGGUAGGGGAGACUGGAAUUCCUGGUGUAGCGGUGAAAUGCGCAGAUAUCAGGAGGAACACCGGUGGCGAAGGCGGGUCUCUGGGCCGAUACUGACGCUGAGGAGCGAAAGCGUGGGGAGCGAACAGGAUUAGAUACCCUGGUAGUCCACGCUGU
rnacentral:rRNA from 1 species